rnacentral:rRNA from 1 species
AUUCUCAGCUCGGAUUGUAGGCUGAAACUCGCCUACAUGAAGCUGGAGUUACUAGUAAUCGCAGAUCAGAAUGCUGCGGUGAAUGCGUUCCCGGGUCUUGUACACACCGCCCGUCACACCACGGAAGUUGGGGGCGCCCGAAGCCACUUAGCUAACCCUUUUGGGAAGCGAGUGUCGAAGGUGAAAUCAAUAACUGGGGUGAAGUCGUAACAAGGUAUC